UGCGUAGGCGGCUUUUUAAGUCGGAUGUGAAAUCCCUGAGCUUAACUUAGGAAUUGCAUUCGAUACUGGGAAGCUAGAGUAUGGGAGAGGAUGGUAGAAUUCCAUGUGUAGCGGUGAAAUGCGCAGAGAUAUGGAGGAACACCAGUGGCGAAGGCGACUUUCUGGUCUGUAACUGACGCUGAUGUGCGAAAGCGUGGGGAUCAAACA
rnacentral:rRNA from 1 species